GACACCCUGCAGUGUUCGAGGUGCUUUCAAUAACUGCUCUUUGCCUUUGAAAUCAUUCGGGAGCCGGAACGGGCGGUGGUUGCUAGGCCGUAAAUCGGAAAGCAUAAAACCGUCCGGAGGCGCCCACCUAUCUCAAAAAGGUUCUCGAGCCUUUGGGCAUACGGCACAGGCGGGGUGUCC
rnacentral:other from 1 species